rnacentral:rRNA from 1 species
GACGAACGCUGGCGGCGUGCUUAACACAUGCAAGUCGAACGGUAAGGCCCUUCGGGGUACACGAGUGGCGAACGGGUGAGUAACACGUGGGUGAUCUGCCCUGCACUUCGGGAUAAGCCUGGGAAACUGGGUCUAAUACCGGAUAGGACCACUGCCUGCAUGGGUGGUGGUGGAAAGCUUUUGCGGUGUGGGAUGGGCCCGCGGCCUAUCAGCUUGUUGGUGGGGUGAUGGCCUACCAAGGCGACGACGGGUAGCCGGCCUGAGAGGGUGACCGGCCAAACUGGGACGGCGAUACGGCCCAGACUCCUACGGGAGGCAGCAGUGGGGAAUAUUGCACAAUGGGCGCAAGCCUGAGUCAGCGACGCCGCAUGGGGGAUGACGGCCUUCGGGUUGUAAACCUCUUUCAGCACCGACGAAGCGCAAGUGACGGUAGGUGCAGAAGAAGGACCGGCCAACUACGUGCCAGCAGCCGCCGUAA